rnacentral:rRNA from 1 species
UACGUAGGGUGCAAGCGUUGUCCGGAAUUAUUGGGCGUAAAGAGCUCGUAGGCGGUUUGUCGCGUCGGCCGUGAAAACUUGGGGCUUAACUCCAAGCUUGCGGUCGAUACGGGCGGACUUGAGUACUGCAGGGGAGACUGGAAUUCCUGGUGUAGCGGUGAAAUGCGCAGAUAUCAGGAGGAACACCGGUGGCGAAGGCGGGUCUCUGGGCAGUAACUGACGCUGAGGAGCGAAAGCGUGGGGAGCGAACAGG